rnacentral:rRNA from 1 species
AGAGUGAACGCUGGCGGCAGGCCUAACACAUGCAAGUCGAACGGCAGCACAGGGGAGCUUGCUCCCUGGGUGGCGAGUGGCGGACGGGUGAGGACAACGUCGGAAUCUGCCUUUUUGUGGGGGAUAACGUAGGGAAACUUACGCUAAUACCGCAUACGACCCCGGG